rnacentral:rRNA from 1 species
AACGAACGCUGGCGGCAGGCUUAAUACAUGCAAGUCGAACGGGCGUAGCAAUACGUCAGUGGCAGACGGGUGAGUAACGCGUGGGAACGUACCCCUCGGUUCGGAAUAACUCAGGGAAACUUGAGCUAAUACCGGAUACGGCUUAGCGGCGAAAGAUUUAUCGCCGAGGGAUCGGCCCGCGUCCGAUUAGCUAGUUGGUGAGGUAACGGCUCACCAAGGCGACGAUCGGUAGCUGGUCUGAGAGGAUGAUCAGCCACAUUGGGACUGAGA